rfam:Ictidomys tridecemlineatus contig077764, whole genome shotgun sequence.
AGGGAUAUAGCUCAGUGGGUAGAGGGUUUGCUUCACACGCACAAAGGCCUGGGUUCAAUCCCCAGCACCACAU